AUAAUGGUAGUAGCCUGCGAAGAGUAAUUCUUUAGGAUAUUUUUUAAAAUUCUGUUGAGACAACUGUUCCUGUCAACCAAUCACGCUGAUCGAUGUCGAAAGGCAAUUCACUGCUCGUAUAAAAACGGAAAAUUUUCUCGAAAAACUUCUGUCACAUUUGUGUCCGAAGGAUAUCAAGUUGUUGCUAAAAUGGAAGAACAAGAUCAAGUUAAUGUAUGCAGUUUUGGAUGUACUGAUUCCUCAUGCCAUUUAACGACAUACGGGUGAAGUUACAACAUUGCUAUUGACUUGAUUGUUUUAAGAGACGUCUCCUCUACAACACCAACUGAGGUGGUGCAGUGGUAGCACACUGGACCCACAUUCAGGACGAC